UGUUCGCUGACGAGUGGCGGACGGGUGAGUAAGUGUCUGGGAAACUGCCUGAGUGGAGGGGGAUAACUACUGGAAACGGUAGCUAAUACCGCGAUAACGUCGCAAGACCAAAGAGGGGGACCUUCGGGCCUCUUGCCAUCGGAUGUGCCCAGAUGGGAUUAGCUAGUAGGUGGGGUAACGGCUCACCUAGGCGACGAUCCCUAGGCUGGUCUGAGAGGAUGACCAGCCACACUGGAACUGAGACACGGUCCAGACUCCUACGGGAGGCAGCAGUGGGGAAUAUUGCACAAUGGGCGCAAGCCUGAUGCCAGCCAUGCCGCGUGUAUGAAGAAGGCCUUCGGGUUGUAAAGCUCUGUCUUCAGGGACGAUAAUGACGGUACCUGAGGAGGAAGCCACGGCUAACUACGUGCCAGCCGCCGC
rnacentral:rRNA from 1 species